ensembl:lncRNA
CAAGCGUUUGUCCAAACAGUUGUCACAUUUGCAAAACUGUAAACACAAUUAGCACAGCAUCGGUCUGUUGUGGCCAUACCAUUCACACAUUUCAUGUCGUGUUCACCCAAUAUGCAGUCAGUGAACACAUUUCCACAAUGCUUACAUUUUCUUAACAGACAAGCUAUACCUCCCAACAAAAUUAUGGACUGUUUUUGUAGUAUCUACGAAUGUUAACACACAACAUCCCACAAUAGCAAAAACAAUAUUCCAAACCUUAGAUACAGUAUAAAAACCUCUGCUUCUGCAAUGAUAUCAGUACAAAAACAAUAUCAAUAUCAAAAAUAUAUCUCAGCUGAUAAUAAACAAACAAUUGAAUAAUUGACACAGCUGAUUUAUGUUGGGUAAAUUGGGCCAACCACAGCUUCUUCCAUUCUGGCUUAGACUCAGUGGGGUUUAUAAGGCAAGACCUUGAGGAGUGAUGUUUUUGGAAACAAAAAAAAGACAAACACUAUAAUGCCUGGUCGAGGAAGAGUAAGAGCAAGGGGCCCAGGGAGAAGAGCAGGCCCAAGGAGAGGGCAAGGUAGAGGUGUAAGAAUGCGUGGUGGUGGCAUUCCAAGGGCUGCAAGAACAGUAGUCAGUGAUGAAAUCCGUGCCACUAUCGUUGACCAUGUAAUCAACCAUGGUCUUUCACUAAGAGAGGCUGGUGAAAGAGUGCAGCCCAAUUUGAGGCGGUCAACGGUUGCCUCCAUUAUACGCAUCUUUCAACAAACCAACAGAAUGCAACGUCUUCCACCCUCUGGGGGAAGAGGAAAGCUCCUCAGUAAUGAUCAGGAGCUUGCCAUUGUAGAAAUGGUUACUGCAAAUAAUGCAAUAAAACUGCGUGAAAUUCAAACUAGAAUUGUGGCGGACCAUGAGAUAUUCGACAAUAUCAAUAGAAUCAGCCUCACAACCAUUACGCGGACAUUGUCCAAACACAGAGUGCGGAUGAAGCAGCUCUACACUGUUCCCUUUGAGAGGAACAGUGAGAGGGUCAAGGAGCUACGACGACAAUAUGUCCAGAGAGUUAUGGAAUUGGAGGCCAACCAGGCCCCUCAUGAAUUCAUAUACAUCGAUGAGGCAGGAUUCAAUCUGGCCAAAAGGCGUCGACGUGGACGAAAUGUAAUUGGAAAAAGGGCCACAGUUGAUGUGUCAGGACAGAGAGGGGCAAACAUUACCAUGUGUGCAGCAAUUGCAAAUGCAGGAUUACUCCUUCACAGAUGUCAGGUUGGACCCUAUAAUACAGAGCGCUUGCUUGCCUUUCUCAAUGAUCUCCACCAGCGCCUGGUUCCAGAGCAGGGUCCGGAGGGUGAAAACAUGAGGACCUUUGUAAUUACCUGGGACAAUGUGGCUUUCCAUCACUCGCAAGCAAUAACAACAUGGUUUGAAGUCCACCCAAGACUGGUAAGUCUCUUCCUUCCACCCUAUUCACCUUUCCUCAACCCCAUAGAGGAGUUCUUUUCUGCAUGGAGGUGGAAGGUUUAUGACCAUCAGCCACAUAACCAGAUGUCCCUCCUUGAAGCCAUGGAUGCUGGCUCCAGGGACAUCACAGUUGACGAUUGCCAAGGGUGGAUCCGACAUACCAG